GUCACUGUAGCGCAAUGGAUAGCACGUUGGACUUCUAAUCCAAAGGUCGUGGGUCCGAAUCCCACCUGGGAUUGACU